rnacentral:rRNA from 1 species
GAUGAACGCUGGCGGCGUGCCUAAUACAUGCAAGUCGAGCGAACAGAUAAUGAGCUUGUUCCUUUGACGUUAGCGGCGGACGGGUGAGUAACACGUGGGUACCCUACCUAUAAGACGGGGAUAACUUCGGGAAACCGGAGCUAACACCGGAUAAUAUCCCGAACCGCAUGGUUCGAUAGUGAAAGACGGCUUUGCUAUCACUUAUAGAUGGACCCGGGCCGUAUUAGCUAGUUGGUAAGGUAACGGCUUACCAAGGCGACGAGACGUAGCCGACCGGAGAGGGGGAUAGCCGACAUGGGAACGUGACCACGGACAAGAGUACUACGGGAGGGCGCAGUAGGGAAUGUUCCGCAGUGGGGGGAAGCCUUACGGAGCGGCGCCGCGUGAGUGAUGGAGGUGUUCGGUGCGUAAUGCUCUGUUUUUAGGGAAGAACAGACUUCGAAGGAGCUGUGCCCGGCGUGACGGUACCUAGUCAGAAAGCCACGGCUAACUACGUG